UACGUAGGGUGCAAGCGUUGUCCGGAGUUAUUGGGUUUAAAGGGUGCGUAGGCGGCCUGAUAAGUCAGUGGUGAACUCCUGCAGCUUAACUGUAGAUGUGCCAUUGAUACUGUUAGGCUUGAGUACAGACGAGGUAGGCGGAAUUUAUGGUGUAGCGGUGAAAUGCAUAGAUACCAUAAAGAACACCGAUAGAGAAGUCAGCUUACUAGGCUGUAACUGACGCUGAGGCACGAAAGCGUGGGGAUCGAACAGG
rnacentral:misc_RNA from 1 species